rnacentral:ncRNA from 1 species
UAUAAUUCUAUGAAGGGAAAAGUAAAUAUUAGUUAGUAUCCAAAGCGAGUGGAGGAUGGUGAAAGCUCCAUGAGAAAGGUAGUAUUGAAGGACCUCCCAGAGAAGUUUGCUUGAACUUAUUUGUUUAUCAGUAGAGCAAACCGUUUGCCUCCGUUAAAGGGCUUUGAGAUGACUUAAAUUAACUUUUAGUCAAAUUAGGAUGGUACCGUGAAGCUUAAGCUCUCACUCCUACA